rnacentral:rRNA from 1 species
AUUGAACGCUGGCGGCAGGCCUAACACAUGCAAGUCGAACGGUAGCACAGAGGAGCUUGCUCCUUGGGUGACGAGUGGCGGACGGGUGAGUAAUGUCUGGGAAACUGCCCGAUGGAGGGGGAUAACAGUUGGAAACGACUGCUAAUACCGCAUGACACAUCGGAGUCGCAUGGCUCUGAUGUCAAAGNUUUAUCGCUGAAAGAUGGCCUCGCGUCUGAUUAGCUAGUUGGUGAGGUAACGGCCCACCAAGGCGACGAUCAGUAGCCGGACUGAGAGGUUGAACGGGCCACACUGGAACUGAGACACGGUCCAGACUCCUACGGGAGGCAGCAGUGGGGAAUCUUCCGCAAUGGGCGAAAGCCUGACGAGCAACGCCGCGUGAGUGAUGACGGCUCGGUGUAAGCUCUGUGAUCGGGACGAACGG